rnacentral:rRNA from 1 species
GAACCAGUUCUAACCCAAAACUCAACUCACUCAACUAAAAAAAAUUAAUCAAACAAAACAUUUACCUUUAAUAAAAGUAUAGGAGAUAGAAAUUUAACCUUUGGAGUUAUAGAGACAGUACCGUAAGGAAAGUUGAAAGAUAUAACUUAUAGUAAUAUAAAGCAAGGAUUAACCCCUCUACCUUUUGCAUAAUGAUUUAACCAGAAAAGACUUUACAAAAAGAAUUAAAGUAAAACACCCCGAAACCAGACGAGCUACUAAUGAGCAAUUGAAAGAAUAAACCCGUCUAUGUCGCAAAAUAGUGGAAAGACUUGUUAGUAGAGGUGAAAAGCCUACCGAGCCUGGUGAUAGCUGGUUGUCCAGACUAGAAUUUUAGUUCAACCUUAAAUUUACCUAAAAGAAUUAUUAAUCCUAAUGUAAAUUUAAUAGUUAUUCUAAAGAGGUACAGCUCUUUAGAGUCAAGGAAACAGCCUUAUUUAGAGAGUAAAUUAUAACUUCCCCAUAGUUGGCCUAAAAGCAGCCAUCAAUUAAAAAAGCGUUAAAGCUUAACCUAACAAACAUAUAUAACCUAAUUCCACACUUAACAAUAAGCUCCUAAUCAUAUAACUGGACUACUCUAUAAACUUAUAGACGCAAUAAUGUUAGUAUUAGUAACAAGAAACAAUUUCUCCCUGCAUAAGCUUAUAUCAGAUCGAAUACCUCACUGAUAGUUAACAGACAAAUAAUUAAACUUAAAACCUUAAAUCUUUAUUAUCCAAACUGUUAACCCAACACUGGCAUGCUACAGGGAAAGAUUAAACAAAGUAAAAGGAACUCGGCAAACAUUAACCUCGCCUGUUUACCAAAAACAUCACCUCUAGCAUAACCAGUAUUAGAGGCACUGCCUGCCCAGUGACAUACGUUUAACGGCCGCGGUAUCCUGACCGUGCAAAGGUAGCAUAAUCACUUGUUCUUUAAAUAGGGACUAGUAUGAAUGGCCCCACGAGGGUUUAACUGUCUCUUACUUUUAAUCAGUGAAAUUGACCCUCCCGUGAAGAGGCGGGGAUAAUUUAAUAAGACGAGAAGACCCUAUGGAGCUUAAAUCUACUUAGCCUAAGCAUUUUUAUUCUUUUUCCGACAGGAUUUAACAAACAUGCCCCACUAGGCUUAAGAUUUUGGUUGGGGUGACCUCGGAGAAUAAAAUAACCUCCGAAUGAUAUUAAGCUUAGACUUGACCAGUCAAAGCUUCCACUCAUUAAUUGACCCAAACUUAUUGACCAACGGAACAAGUUACCCUAGGGAUAACAGCGCAAUCCUACUCAAGAGUUCAUAUCGACAGUUAGGGUUUACGACCUCGAUGUUGGAUCAGGACAUCCAAAUGGUGUAACCGCUAUUAAUGGUUCGUUUGUUCAACGAUUAAAGUCCUACGUGAUCUGAGUUCAGACCGGAGAAAUCCAGGUCGGUUUCUAUCUAUUUAAUAUUUCUCCCAGUACGAAAGGACAAGAGAAAUAAGGCCCAUAAAACUUUCACGCCUUAGAGUAAAUAAAUGAAAUAAUCUUAAUUUAAUAACUCAUUCAUUACAUGCCCUAGAACAGGGCCU